CAGCACCCCAAGUGGUCGGGAUGAUUAUUGGGCCUAAAGCAUCCGUAGCCGGCGCUGUAAGUUUUCGGUUAAAUCUGUACGCUCAACGUACAGGCUGCCGGGAAUACUGCAGCGCUAGGGAGUGGGAGAGGUAGACGGUACUCGGUAGGAAGGGGUAAAAUCCUUUGAUCUAUUGAUGACCACCUGUGGCGAAGGCGGUCUACCAGAACACGUCCGACGGUGAGGGAUGAAAGCUGGGGGAGCAAACCGGAUUAGAUACCCGAGUAGUCC
rnacentral:rRNA from 1 species